rnacentral:rRNA from 1 species
CAGCAGCCACGGUAAUACGGAGGGGGCUAGCGUUGUUCGGAAUUACUGGGCGUAAAGCGCACGUAGGCGGCUUGGUAAGUUAGAGGUGAAAGCCCGGAGCUCAACUCCGGAAUUGCCUUUAAGACUGCCGAGCUAGUAGGUGAGAGAGGUAAGUGGAAUUCCGAGUGUAGAGGUGAAAUUCGUAGAUAUUCGGAAGAACACCAGUGGCGAAGGCGGCUUACUGGCUCAUUCUAGACGCUGAGGUGCGAAAGCGUGGGGAGCAAACAGGAUUAGAUACCCCCGUAGUCCCUGUCUCUUAUAC